GGUGAAAACAGCAAUUAUAAGAAUGGACACACUGGCUGAACUAGAGAAGCAAGCAUUGCCAUUAUCACUUCCCCCUGGUGGGGCGACCUUGUCAUGUCACAGAGGAUGAGGAUACACUCUGUCCUGAUGAAACCUGAUAGGCUGGAGUCAAUUAGCAGAAGGCUGGAGUUCUGUUCCUAGGAUCUACAUAGCAGCUCACAACCAUCUGUAACUCCAGUUUCCAGGGACCCAACAACACCGUCUUGUAGCCUUUGCAGGCUCUGCAGAUAAAACCCAGGGCCCU